UACGGAGGGUGCGAGCGUUGUCCGGAAUCACUGGGCGUAAAGAGCUCGUAGGCGGUGUGUCGCGUCGGCCGUGAAAACCUGCAGCUUAACUGUGGGCUUGCGGUCGAUACGGGCAUCACUGGAGUUCGGCAGGGGAGACUGGAAUUCCUGGUGUAGCGGUGAAAUGCGCAGAUAUCAGGAGGAACACCGGUGGCGAAGGCGGGUCUCUGGGCCGAUACUGACGCUGAGGAGCGAAAGCGUGGGGAGCGAACAGG
rnacentral:rRNA from 1 species